rnacentral:rRNA from 1 species
GACGAACCACACGAACGUUAUUCGGAAUUAUUGGGCGUAAAGCGCACGUAGGCGGCUUGGCAAGUCGGAUGUGAAAUCCCUCGGCUCAACCAAGGAAGUGCAUCCGAAACUGCCGAGCUUGAGUACUUAAGAGGAUCGCGGAAUUCCCGGUGUAGAGGUGAAAUUCGUAGAUAUCGGGAGGAACACCAGUGGCGAAGGCGGCGAUCUGGGAAGAUACUGACGCUGAGGUGCGAAAGCGUGGGGAGCAAACAGG